rnacentral:rRNA from 2 species
CUCAAGGCUCAUGAUUAUCUGAUACCCUGGUAGUCCACGCCGUAACGAUGAGUACUAAGUGUCGGGUUAAACCGGUACUGAAGUUAACACAUUAAGUACUCCGCCUGAGUAGUACGUACGCAAGUAUGAAACUUAAAGGAAUUGACGGGACUCCGCACAAGCGGUGGAUCAUGUUGUUUAAUUCGAAGAUACCCGAAAAACCUUACCAGGUCUUGACAUGUUUUUGCAAAAUGAUAGUAAUAUCGUGGAGGUUACCAGAAACACAGGUGGUGCAUGGUUGUCGUCAGCUCGUGUCGUGAGAUGUUAGGUUAAGUCCUAAAACGAGCGAAACCCUUAUCGUUAGUUGCCAGCACGUUAUGGUGGGGACUUUAACGAGACUGCCAAUGAUAAAUUGGAGGAAGGUGAGGAUCACGUCAAAUCAGCAUGCCCCUUAUGACCUGGGCUACAAACGUGAUACAAUGGCUGUUACAAAGGUAAAGCUGAAGA